CCUCUUCAUGAGCGCACCCUGAUCAGCAUGCCGCGUGUGUGAAGAAGGCCUUCGGGUUGUAAAGCACUUUUGUCCGGAAAGAAAUCGCACUUACUAAUAUUAGGUGUGGAUGACGGUACCGGAAGAAUAAGGACCGGCUAACUACGUGCCAGCAGCCGCGGUAAUACGUAGGGUCCAAGCGUUAAUCGGAAUUACUGGGCGUAAAGCGUGCGCAGGCGGUUGUGCAAGACCGAUGUGAAAUCCCCGGGCUUAACCUGGGAAUUGCAUUGGUGACUGCACGGCUAGAGUGUGUCAGAGGGGGGUAGAAUUCCACGUGUAGCAGUGAAAUGCGUAGAGAUGUGGAGGAAUACCGAUGGCGAAGGCAGCCCCCUGGGAUAACACUGACGCUCAUGCACGAAAGCGUGGGGAGCAAACAGGAUUAGAUACCCUGGUAGUCCACGCCCUAAACGAUGUCAACUAGUUGUUGGGGAUUCAUUUCCUUAGUAACGUAGCUAACGCGUGAAGUUGACCGCCUGGGGAGUACGGUCGCAAGAUUAAAACUCAAAUGAAUUGACGG
rnacentral:rRNA from 1 species